rnacentral:lncRNA from 1 species
AUAAAACGUACAUGAACUCUGCACCAUUAGUGUUACCAGGUAUAGGGGCAGAGAUUCAGAAGACAUGUGAUGAAACCUGAUGCUGAUUACAACGAAUGGAUUUACACUGAAGAUCAGCUGGAAUAAUUUGGCCCCUAAAAACAGAGGCAGGGUGUUGGUUUUUGUUACCUGACAUAAUGACAUCAAUGAGACCAAGCAUCAUUUCACCACUGAUGUGUUCUUCCUGAGUGAACAGAGCUACUGUGAAUAGGCUGAACCAAUCUGAA